UACGUAGGGGGCAAGCGUUGUCCGGAAUCAUUGGGCGUAAAGCGCGUGUAGGCGGCCCGAUAAGUCCGCCGUGAAAGCCCAGGGCUCAACCCUGGGAUGCCGGUGGAAACUGUCGGGCUAGAGUCCGGAAGAGGCGAGUGGAAUUCCUGGUGUAGCGGUGAAAUGCGCAGAUAUCAGGAGGAACACCUAUGGCGAAGGCAGCUCGCUGGGACGGUACUGACGCUGAGGCGCGAAAGCGUGGGGAGCAAACAGG
rnacentral:rRNA from 1 species